rnacentral:rRNA from 1 species
UACGUAGGGUGCAAGCGUUAAUCGGAAUUACUGGGCGUAAAGCGUGCGCAGGCGGCUUUGCAAGACAGAUGUGAAAUCCCCGGGCUCAACCUGGGAAUUGCAUUCGAGACUGCGUAGCUAGGGUGCGGAAGAGGGAAGCGGAAUUUCCGGUGUAGCGGUGAAAUGCGUAGAUAUCGGAAGGAACACCAGUGGCGAAAGCGGCUUCCUGGUCCAGCACCGACGUUCAGGCACGAAAGCGUGGGGAGCAAACAGG